UACGUAGGGUGCAAGCGUUAAUCGGAAUUACUGGGCGUAAAGCGUGCGCAGGCGGUUAUGCAAGACAGAUGUGAAAUCCCCGGGCUCAACCUGGGAACUGCAUUUGUGACCGCAUGGCUAGAGUACGGUAGAGGGGGAUGGAAUUCCGCGUGUAGCAGUGAAAUGCGUAGAUAUGCGGAGGAACACCGAUGGCGAAGGCAAUCCCCUGGACCUGUACUGACGCUCAUGCACGAAAGCGUGGGGAGCAAACAGG
rnacentral:rRNA from 1 species